rnacentral:misc_RNA from 1 species
AAGUCGUAACAAGGUUUCCGUAGGUGAACCUGCGGAAGGAUCAUUAACACGUAUUCUAUACGUCUCAACCAACUGUGCAUACUUGAUCUACAGUGGUGUGGCAUGCUUGCCGCACAUGUCUGUAACACAAACGUUUUUUCACGUUUUUCACCGCCAUCCACUGAUACUUGUGUCGGAGUGCUUAGGCGCUCUGUGAAUGAUUAAUUCAAUUGUUCAAACAACUUUUAGCAAUGGAUAUCUCGGCUCACA